GUUCUAUUCUGAGCUCUAAGUGUCUCUUGAUUACACAACCUGCUCUAAUUUAUCAGUUUAUUUUAUAUGAAGUCUCCAGUGCUGUCGUUGCAUUUUCAGGUUUCUAUUCUGAGCUCUAAGUGUCUCUGAAUUACCCAGCCUGCUUUAAUAUAUCAGUUUAUUUUAUCUGAUGUCUCCCAGCACUUUUGUUGCAUUUUAAGGUUCCUUUCUUGAGCUCAAAGUGUCUCUGGAUUAUGCAGCCUGCUUUAAUUUAUCACUUUACUUUAUCUGACGUCUCUAUCGCUGUGGUUGCAUUUACAGGUUUCUAUUCUGAGCUCUAAGUGUCUCUGGAUUACGCAGCCUGCUUUAAUAUAUCAGUUUAUUUUAUCUGAUGUCUCCAGCUCUUCGUUGCAUUUUCAGGUUUCUAUGCUGAGCUCUCAGUGUCUCUGGAUUACGUCGCCUGCUUUAAUUUAUCAGUUUAUUUUAUCUGAUGUCUCCCAGCGCUGUCGUUGCAUUUUCAGAUUUCUAUUCUGAGCUUUCAGUGUCUCUGGAUUA
rnacentral:lncRNA from 1 species